rnacentral:rRNA from 1 species
UACGUAGGGAGCAAGCGUUGUCCGGAAUCAUUGGGCGUAAAGGGCUCGUAGGCGGCCAACUAAGUCCGACGUGAAAUCCCCAGGCUUAACCUGGGAACUGCGUCGGAUACUGGAUGGCUUGAAUCCGGGAGAGGGAUGCGGAAUUCCAGGUGUAGCGGUGAAAUGCGUAGAUAUCUGGAGGAACACCGGUGGCGAAGGCGGCAUCCUGGACCGGCAUUGACGCUGAGGAGCGAAAGCCAGGGGAGCAAACGGG